CAAGCGAGUGCUCUUGUCAAUGAAUUCUCCCAGCAAAGUUAUCACCACAGACUUGCUGACAUGUUGUUCUUCACAAGCUGACACUCUCCAUCCCUUUGAAAGACAGAUUGUUUUCCUAGAUGGGAUUGUUCACCAGCUGCUCAUGGUAAGCACAGCCACUUCACCAUGAUCUAGCAUUUCCAUAAUCUUCAAAGCCAUACGCACUGCGGGUACAGACAGGUCUGCAGGGCACGGCCCUCGCAGCCAGCCGCUGGGAGUUUGUGACAGCAAAGCUCUGUCUGGUUUCCUAUCGGCCUUGUGGUCACCCAGAUGCCAGCGUUUGGACUCCCAAGCUGCAGACAUCACUUCCUAUAAUAGCCUCACAGUCAAAAGGGACAGGUUCCACCCAGAAUUGUGGCAUAACUGGCAAGAAUGUCAGCCCUGACUGAGUCAAGGAAACUGACAAGACGGCACUGCCUGGAACACAGGAGACAGUGCCACAGUCCCUGCCCUCAAGGGGCUCACAGCUUGGUGGACAAGGCAGAAACGUCAACAAGCAGGUGCAGAAUGGGCCAGAAGCAAUCCUACCACAGGAGGGAGGGAAGGGCCUCGUGGAGGAGCUGACCCUGCAGCUGAACUGAAAGACUGAGGCUACGGAGGCCAUAAAGGAGAGUGCCUCGUUACUGUGGAAUGAUCUCGAACAAAGCAAUACAUUUUACCACUAAGAAUAAGCCCCCGCAGACGCUUUGAUGCUCAAGUGUCUGAAGCACGCUUUGGUUACAGCAAUAUGUUUCCACACUGUGGAAAGCGACUAAUCACCCUCACUAAACUCCUUUUGAAAGCUUUUGUUCCCAAAGUGGCAUAUUUUAUGAUUUUUAAAUUAUUAAAAUGAGAUGCUCCCGUCUCCACCAGUCACUCCUCUCAGAUAGAUACCACAUGUGCACUCAGAUCAGGGCCAUCUGCCAGAGGAGGCAAAGAGCCCGAGGCGCUGGCCGCUCCCCUGAGGGCUAGGAUUCGCCUGUGGUGAGGACACAGCCGCGGGUAGCACAGCCGGGCACACCGCCAGACAGCAAGCAGGGGAAGUCACGCCCGCAAUCCGAGGCCGUGCUCCCCGGCAGGUGGGUGUGCGUCGGUGAGGGAUGGUUGCCCCACUGGGCACACACUCACCGGUAAGCUGCGACAGUGCCCAGCUCUGUGAGCUCAAGUCACCCAUGCGACCUGAUGUCCACCAUCAACUAUCCACCAGAAGACAAGCUACUGCCGAACAUCCCCGAGGUGACAUGAAUGAUGUUCUCAAGAGAAUUCUGAAGUUAGACUGCCCCUCUUUGGCUCGUCCAAGGUCACCUUCCCCGAGUCUCAGCUUUCUCAUCUGGAAAUGUUAUUCGACCCUUCCUUGCAAGGUGCAGGCCCUCAAGAGCCUGCGCUCUGAGCCACGUGUCCACACCACCUUCUCUCAGCAUAGCCGCAAUCUCACACCUGCUGGCAUCGACCAGGACAGUGGAGCAAACAUCUUCACGUCACGAAGCUGCCUGCCUGCCACACAGGACAGUGAGGCACCCUUCCUCACUGGUUCUCGCCACCCUUCCCAGGCGAAGCAGGGCAGAAACAACAAGUUCUUCCUCUCUGUCCUCCUGUUUACGGCUCCAUCCCGAUCAGCCCUCUCUGGCAGUGCUCUUUCUUCAGAUAAGACCGGUACCAUGGUUCAGAUGUCAGUUUUCCUAUUUACAAUCUCACUGCAGCCCUGCCUGGAGAUCACAGCAAAGUCACCUGGGAGUGUAGGACAUUUACAGACAAGCCCUGAGUUACCUCUGUAAAUGACUAAUUUCAUCCGUUAUGCAUGAGGUUUACCGGUUUAAUAUUCAGAGAGGGUCUGAUAGCACAAGGGCUGGAUCUUGCCUCUGUCAGUUCCCAUCUGAGUGAUGCUGAGCAAGUCACUUAGCAUGUGGAGCCUCAGUGCACUCGGGUGUAAAACGGGCAUAACCUGCACACCUUGAAGGACCGCUCUGAGGACACAAUAAAAUCACCAACGUGAAUUGGCAAAAGCCAUCAUAGCUUGUGGCAAGCGGCAACACAUGCUCGAUAAAUUUUAGUCUCUUUCCCCAAGUUCUUCCCAGCAUCUAAAGUCACUGCUGAAUGCUUAUAACAUCUCAGAAUUUUCGUGGACAGUCUUUAAAAGAACUGUUCAUUUUCUCCCUUGUCUUCCUUCGUGUACAUGAGAUUUUGGGGGGUGGAGGUGGGGAGUGGAAUCUGUUAUUCAACAGUCUGCUUCAGAGUUAGUUUUGUUUGGGGUAUUUUUUUGUCUCACCUUCUUAAGAGGGUAGAAAGAGAAAAUAAGUGGGUGAGCGUUAAGACAUAAAAGUCCCCGAAAAAAAGGUCCAAACUAUCAGAAAAAUAUCAGACAACCUUUAAGCAAUCUCUGACAAAUAAAAGAAACUUAGUAAAAUUUUAGUAGAUCUAUAUUUUCCCCUAGAGCUACAGAAAUCCUCUGCAUGUACAUUCCUUGACCAAGAACUGCUUUAAAACCUCCUCAUUUUCCUUAGGGGAGCAGUUAAGGCAAAGAGUGACAUUUCACACACUCUAAACACUCAAAAUCAGGGUUUUCCCUUCUCUCUCCUCAUUUACCUUUUCAGUCUUUAGGCUAUUUUUCUCACCCUGAAGCAACAUCCAAAGGCCUAUU